CAAGUACUCCCUCCGAUCCAUAUUACUUGUCGGAGCUUGUCUACAUACUCAUGUAUCUAGACGUGUUUCAUUGUGUAGGCACAUACGUAUCUAGACAAAGUUGAGAGAAGUAAUAUGGAUUGGAGGGAGUAAUAA
rnacentral:pre_miRNA from 1 species